UACAGAGGUCUCAAGCGUUGUUCGGAUUCAUUGGGCGUAAAGGGUGCAUAGGUGGCGUGGUAAGUCGGGUGUGAAAUUUCGGAGCUUAACUCCGAAACUGCAUUCGAUACUGCUGUGCUUGAGGACUGGAGAGGAGACUGGAAUUUACGGUGUAGCAGUGAAAUGCGUAGAGAUCGUAAGGAAGACCAGUGGCGAAGGCGGGUCUCUGGACAGUUCCUGACACUGAGGCACGAAGGCCAGGGGAGCAAACGGG
rnacentral:rRNA from 1 species